CUUCGGAUGCUGACGAGUGGCGAACGGGUGAGUAAUACAUCGGAACGUGCCCGAGAGUGGGGGAUAACGAAGCGAAAGCUUUGCUAAUACCGCAUACGAUCUCAGGAUGAAAGCAGGGGACCGCAAGGCCUUGCGCUCACGGAGCGGCCGAUGGCAGAUUAGGUAGUUGGUGGGAUAAAAGCUUACCAAGCCGACGAUCUGUAGCUGGUCUGAGAGGACGACCAGCCACACUGGGACUGAGACACGGCCCAGACUCCUACGGGAGGCAGCAGUGGGGAAUUUUGGACAAUGGGCGCAAGCCUGAUCCAGCCAUGCCGCGUGCAGGAUGAAGGCCUUCGGGUUGUAAACUGCUUUUGUACGGAACGAAAAGACUCUGGUUAAUACCUGGGGUCCAUGACGGUACCGUAAGAAUAAGCACCGGCUAACUACGUGCCAGCAGCCGCGGUAAUACGUAGGGUGCGAGCGUUAAUCGGAAUUACUGGGCGUAAAGCGUGCGCAGGCGGUUAUGUAAGACAGAUGUGAAAUCCCCGGGCUCAACC
rnacentral:rRNA from 1 species